GCCAGCAGGGCAUAGUGGUUUGAGUGACAGACUAGGACUCGGGAGACCAGGGUUCGAAUCCCUGCUCAGCCA